rnacentral:tRNA from 1 species
GUCCCUAGAGUGCAGCGGAUAGCGCGUUGGACCUCUAAUCCAAAGGUCGUGGGUUUGAAUCCCACCUGGGAUA